CCCGACAGUUAUUUUUGGCCCAUCCCAGUGUCCCGAAAAUACCCGUUCUCCCCCUCAUAAAUAGUAGACCAUAUUGUCACAUUGAUGUUUUCUUUCAUUACAGUUAGACUUCGAGAUCUACAUUUUCGACAAAGGCCUGGUGUAUAAAUUUUACGUACUUGAUGAAGGUUUAAUGACACGAAUGAGUACAAGUACAUUACAUAUUUUCGACGAAGGCCUUCUGUAAUUUCAUACGCUUCUUACGCAACAUUCAAUAGAUUUAUUUACUGUAUUAUCAUUUCGACCAAGGCGAAUUCGACACUUCAAUUACACAAGGUUAGUAACUUUUGUUCACAAAAUCCAAAUGGAGGCAAAUACAGAACAAUCAAACUUAGUCAUUCAAGUCAGUUACUGAAGCACAGUGAAAACUGUCGGGAGCAGUGCAACUGAUGGCAUGUCAAACUUCCAGUGACUGUCCCUGUCCAUAUAUUUCAAGACAGUACAAAUCUUGUAAUCAUUUUGUUUAUGCAAUGUACGUUAUUAUGUAUCAUUUCAGCACAAUCAAACUUAGUCAUUCCAGUCAGUUACUGAAGCACAGCGAAAACUGUCUGAAUUAGUGCUGCUGAUGGCAUGUAAUUACUCUACUACCACUACCAGUGACAGUCAAUGUCCAUAUAUUUUCAAGUGUGCGAAAUUAGUACUCGUCUACUUCUUAGUGUUAUUUGAAUGCAAUGUAUGUUAUAAAAAUAUUUUUUCAACACUAUAUCAACAUUCUCAUUCCUGUCAGUUUCUGAAAAUCAGCUAAAGCAAUCGCUACCAAUGCAGCUGAUAACAGCAAUUCUUUUUGUUCCCAAUGCCCAUCCAUGACAAUAUAUUUCACGCAUGUGACAAUCAUGUAAUCAUCCUGUUUUUUUGUGUUCUAUUCAUGCAAUAAAUAAAUUCAGUAUUUUCAAAUCAUUGGUGCUACAAAACUAUUCUCAUUAUAGAUUAUUCAUAUUUUAUAAAAUGCUGUCAUGUCAAAUUUUGUGUCCUAUAAAUCAUUAUGAAGUCGGCAUUUUAUAUACAACUUUUGUACUCCUCCUAAAUAAACAUACAAAUCUUGUUUUAUGUAAACUUUGUAUAUGUGACCCGUCAC